rnacentral:misc_RNA from 1 species
UACGAAGGGGGCUAGCGUUGUUCGGAAUUACUGGGCGUAAAGCGCACGUAGGCGGAUUGUUUAGUGAGGGGUGAAAUCCCAGGGAUAAACCCUGGAACUGCCUCUCAUACUGGCAGUCUCGAGUCCGGAAGAGGUGAGUGGAAUUCCGAGUGUAGAGGUGAAAUUCGUAGAUAUUCGGAGGAACACCAGUGGCGAAGGGGGCGCACGGGUCCGGUACUGACGCGGAGGUGCGAAAGCGUGGGGAGCAAACAGG